GACGAACGCUGGCGGCGUGCUUAACACAUGCAAGUCGAACGGAAAGGCCCUGCUUUUGUGGGGUGCUCGAGUGGCGAACGGGUGAGUAACACGUGAGUAACCUGCCCUUGACUUUGGGAUAACCUCAGGAAACUGGGGCCAAUACCGGAUAGGAGCUCCUGCUGCAUGGUGGGGGUGGGAAAGUUUCGGCGGUUGGGGAUGGACUCGCGGCUUAUCAGCUUGUUGGUGGGGUAGUGGCUUACCAAGGCUUUGACGGGUAGCCGGCCUGAGAGGGUGACCGGCGACAUUGGGACUGAGGUACGGCCCAGACUCCUACGGGAGGCAGCAGUGGGGAAUAUUGCACAAUGGGCGGAAGCCUGAUGCAGCAACGCCGCGUGCGGGAUGACGGCCUUCGGGUUGUAAACCGCUUUCGCCUGUGACGAGGCGUGAGUGACGGUAAUGGGUAAAGAAGCACCGGCUAACUACGUG
rnacentral:rRNA from 1 species